ensembl:lncRNA
GGAAUCCCCUUCUGUUUCCCUGUGUUUAAUGCCGUUGCCGGGCCCACGGUGGCGCCGGGCCAGGGCGCAGGGAGUUCCGGAGGCAGCGGCGGCUCCAAGGCCCGCGCGCCCCCGUGUAGGCCCGGGGCGCUCCUGCGGCCACCGCGGGCCCCUGUGCGUCCGGGCCGCGGCCCCUGCGCCCCUUGCGCCCCUCGCGCCCUCAGCCUCCUCUGGGCCGUGUUUAUAGCUGCUGCCCGAGAGACGCUACCCGGGUUUUAUUUUAAGGGCUGGUGAUGACUAACGAAGUUAAAAGGAGCUUAGGACAGAAAACAAGACUAUUUUUAGGUGACUGUUGUUUCUGCGGAUUAUUGGGGCGAAUACACCCAGAGGAGCUCACCAUUCUCCAAGGCCCUCUGGCCGCUGGACCCUCGCUCCCGGAGCGCCCUGGACGUCCACCCACUCAGGCUCCUCUCCAGACGGGGAUCCCGCAGCCUGGGCUCUGUGUCCAAGUUCCAGUGCUGUGGGCCGUCGGGGACUGGGUCAGGGGGCCCCCGGAGCUCAGGCCCUGUUGGAGUGCUCCCCGCCCACCCUGGGGGACCCUUGGGGUCAGGAGAGCCUCCCAGAGCUCAGGCCCUGCCGGAGUGAGCCCCAUCUGCCCUGGGAUGGGGUAGCUGGGAUGUUCCAUCCUCUGGAGCAUCUGGGGCACCGCUGCAGGGUAGAGGCUCCUGGGCAACUGUCUCACUCCCCACUUUGCUCUUCCUAUUACUCAGCUGGGCAACCAGGUGCCACUUCUUGUGCCUCAGUUUCACCCCAGACAUCUGCGAGUCAAGUGUGAGUGCUCCAUUCUUGCCGGAUGCAUAUGGGGAGCCAUCCCAGGGGCCACUGAACCCCCUCCUGUAGGAACACUGAGCCUCCAGCUGCUCCCCAGGGGCAGAUGUGCGAGCUUCCCGGCAGGACACAGCAGAGGCCUUGUCUCAUCGACUGCCCCGCCAGAACUGGGCCUGGGCACCCAGUCAGCACCAGUACCAGGUCUAAAGCCCCCAUCAUCAGUGAGUCAGGCCACUUCCUGCACUGGGCCCUUGCAGAGACAUCACGGACAAAGGCAGACUGCUCGGCGUGGCACCUGAAGGUCCUAGUCCCGGAGCCUACUGUGCCUACUGUGAUGGCCUCAGCUGCCGGUUGGCUUCUAGCCCGGAGAACAUUCCAUCGCCUUGGAAAGGACACGGAUCUGCUCUGCCUGUGGAGUGCCCGCGCACGGCGCCAGGUCUCGCUGGUUUACGCACAGCCGCGUGGAGAGUGGGGUCUCGUGUCUCCAGCUACUGCCGCUCCACUCUCCGUUUUCCCUUCUUUUCCUCAGCUUUGUUUCCCAUAUUUCCAAGCUCUGUUGCAUCUUCCUCAUGGAUUCCCUUUUCUCAUUAGCAAACACCCUUCUUCAUCUCUAAUUACACUUUUUGGGGUAAAAAUCCAUCUUGUCUGACAUCAGUACAAGCCUCUCCAGCUCCCGUCUGGCUGCGCUUUGUACAAUUCAUCGCUUUCCACCCUGUUAGUCCAUCUGCUCCUUGAACCCACAGAGCGUCUCCUCUUGGAUUGUGGGGCUUUUGUUUGUUGGCUUGGCUUUUGCCCACUUGACAAUGUGCCUUUUGAUCGGCUCCUUCGAUUGAUCUACAUUUAAUGUCAUCAUUGGUAGAGUUGGAUUCACACCUGCUGCAUUUUACUCUUUUGUUUUCUGCUUCUCUCCUGUCUUUCUGGUCCUUCUGUUCUCCCUUCAUCUUUUUUUUUUUUUUGUAAAUGCUAAGGGCCUACUUCUUUAAAAGAUUCAUUUAUUUAUUAUUUGAGAGAGAUAAAGAGAGGAGGAGAGAGAGUUUGAGCACUUGCGUUCAGGGGGAGGAGGGAUAGAGGGGGAGCAUCCUAAGCAGACCCCCGCUGAGCAGGGAGCCCCACUCAGGGCUGAUCCCAGGACCCUGAGAUCACAACCUGAGCCCAAGUCAUGAGUCUGAUGCUAAGUGCACUGAGCCCCCGGGUGCCUGUGACUCUUCUGAUGUAGCGUUUUAAUCACGGUCAACUUGAGAUUUACAGCAGCUUCACCCCAGUGAUGGGUGUGAACACCAGUCCUGGGGGGUUAUUCCCUUUCCCUUUCUUAUGAGACUGUCACAUACGCUAUAAGUCCUAAUGGCACGAACCCAGCGACACCCUGUAAUAAUAUCACUUUGCCAUCCGGAUGCAUUUCCUUACUUCCG